rnacentral:rRNA from 1 species
GACGAACGCUGGCGGCGUGCUUAACACAUGCAAGUCGAACGAAGUGGCGAACGGGUGCGUAACGCGUAAUCCACCUGCCCUUCAGAGGGGGACAACAGUUGGAAACGACUGCUAAUACCGCAUACUGUAGGUGGGAAUUGCGUCUGAUUAGCUAGUUGGAUGGGUUACGGCCUACCAGGGAGAUGAUCAGUAGCCGGCCUGAGAGGAUGAACGGCCACAAUUGGACUUAGACACUGCCCAGACUCCUACGGGAGGCAGCAGUGGGGAAUCUUCCGCAAUGGGGGAAAGUCUGACCGAGCAACGCCGCGUGAGUGAUGAAGGUUUUCGGGUCGUAAAGCUCUGUUAUUAGGGAAGCGGUACCUGAAUAGAAAGGGACGGCUAACUACGUGCCAGCAGCCGCGGUAAUAC